UACAGAGGUCCCAAGCGUUGUUCGGAUUCAUUGGGCGUAAAGGGUGCGUAGGCGGCGAGGUAAGUCUGAUGUGAAAUUCCAGGGCUCAACCUUGGACCUGCAUUGGAUACUGCCUUGCUAGAGUACUGGAGAGGAGACUGGAAUUUACGGUGUAGCAGUGAAAUGCGUAGAGAUCGUAAGGAAGACCAGUGGCGAAGGCGAGUCUCUGGACAGUUACUGACGCUGAGGCACGAAGGCCAGGGGAGCAAACGGG
rnacentral:rRNA from 1 species